UUAUUUAGGUGCUUAGCGAUAAGCUUAAUAAGGAACACAAGUGAAAGACUUGGGCUGUACCAGCAACUGUGAUGCUGAUGAAAUCAAAUUUACCAUUGGAUUUAUAUCUGAGAAGGUUGACGUAGGAUGAAGCAAAGCCAGGAGACUUGCCUAAAUAC
rnacentral:ncRNA from 1 species